UACGGGGGGUGCAAGCGUUGUUCGGAAUUAUUGGGCGUAAAGAGCGUGUAGGCGGCUUGGCAAGUCAGAUGUGAAAGCCCUGGGCUUAACCCAGGAAGUGCAUUUGAAACUGCUUAGCUAGAGUAGGGGAGAGGGAAGUGGAAUUCCUGGUGUAGAGGUGAAAUUCGUAGAUAUCAGGAGGAACACCGGUGGCGAAGGCGACUUCCUGGCCCUAUACUGACGCUGAGACGCGAGAGCGUGGGUAGCAAACAGG
rnacentral:rRNA from 1 species